CACCCGAUAGCCCAUGGUGUGCGUCUGCCUUUCUGGAGAUAAAUGUCCUGUGUAUGUAGGAGAUCCCUGUUCGAUUCGGGGUUGGGUGA